CCGCGACUGCGGAACAAAACAACCGCGUUAACCUCCACUGCAACCAUUUUACGUCAUCUACCCACAGUGCACUGCAUAUCCAGAAUAAUGGCGACCUCCACAGGUCAAAAUUUCAAUUUAAGGCUGGGGGUGUUUUUGAAUAAUUGAAAUCUUUUGUGUGGUUUUUACUACACAUUUCCACAGUUGCCGACAGGGCUAGUUUGAAAACUAGUCAACCUUGGCAUUAUUUUUCUUUGGUGAAGUCAGCUGAAGUUCGCCACGGGGAUGAAAAGCCACGUGAAGUUGGCCUGUUUUCUGUUGGACCUUGUUUAGGGAGAAGCAGGUGUCGGUGAAAACAGACACCACAGUGUACCAAGCUGGACUGAGGCUAAUGUUACACACAGCAGAGAGAUGACUCCCAUUGAGAGCACACAAGAACCUGACCUCCCCUCCCAGGGAUCUGCAACAAUGCAGUGGAUCUCCUGUUUCUAGGAGAUAUCAGGACCAUUGCACAGUUGAAAUGCAGCCUGAUCUGCCUCACAGUUGGCUCGGUCAACAAAGGUUCUCUGAACCCCAACCUUACCAGUUUGAGUUUGGGUUAUGUCCAGAAGUCCACAGCGUCAGGAUGCAAUUGGCUCUGUCCCAUUCAGACAGGUUAGGUUUAAGCUUGCCAGGUCCUUUUGGGUCACCUCUACAUUAGAAUCUCCCAGUGAAUAGCCAGGCCCUACAUACUGUUGUUAUUAGUGUGGAAUUGGUUAUUGUUCCUAAAAGUGACAUUUUUCCUAUAGUGCAUGUUGUGUAGGCUACUGUAGCACACAGCUGUUUUCUAUUGUGUGCAGUUUCUUAUUUUUCUUUUUUUUUUUGUGUAAAUUUUUUUGUAUGAUCUGUUAUACCUGCUCCAUAGACUGUACGUGCCAUGUUUUAUCUUUCAUCAUUUUUUUAUUGUAUUGACUUUGGUGGAAAGCACUUUGAACACAUAUAUUUAGAGCAAUAUAAUUAUAAUUACAAUUAUUAUUGUUGUUGUUGUUGUUGUUGUUAUUAUUAUUUGGGAAUGGGGUAUAAGGGGGAAUCAGGGCGGACUAAGGAAUGCAUACGGGAGAAUAAAGAGAGAAUAUGGAUGGAUGGAUAUAAGAGCCUAAGAGAUAUGAGGGGAGUAUAGAGAGGAAAUAGCCGCCAGAAUAUAUUGCCUCAUUUCACUGAGUAUGAGAAUAGGAAGAUACAUCACAGGGCUUUUUAUAUAAAGGACAGUGUGAAGAAUUUGAGCAGUGCAUAGGGGUGCAACAUAGAUUAACCAGACCCAGGGACAAAGAACACACCGGGGCACACUGGGCUGGAAAGCAGGCAAAUCUCCGGAUUCACUCACCAGGACAGGAGAGGGCAUCCUAUUUAUGGCAUCGAUAUUAUAUAUUACGCUGAGAUGUGGCUCUUGAAGGAUUUACUGACUUUUGAAUCCUAGAGGGAUUUCUGCCAUGCUGUGAGAGAUGUACAAUAUGCAUGUAGAGGUAAAAGGGAAUAGAGGACAUUUUUUUAAAUGCACCCAGUUGAGGGUUAAUUUGUGUGAAAAUCUUGGUCUUUUAGAUAUGGCCUAAGAUACAGCCUUUCGGUGUUUUGUAAUUGGAAUGGGAACAGCCUAUUGUACCUCGUGCCAAACAUGCAAUCAGUCACACUGAUCCUUCUAUGCUGGUCAGGUGCUAUGGUCAGUAGCAGUCCUAGGCAUCGACAGUGUAGGCAGCUGCCCUAGCAUAGCAACUUGCUAAUGAUGAUACAGUGUAUAUGGCUUGCACUCAUAAUUAGGUGAGUGUGUGUGCCCACUAUCCAUUCUCCUUAUUUGCAUUUCUGUUCAUUUUUGUUUGAGUGUAUCAAUUUUCAUAGUUUUUUGUCUCUUGCAACAUGUUUCAGUUGUCCUGUUUACUUUGGCUUUUUGUAUAUGUUUUGAAAUUCGUUUCUGAUUUGUUUAAUUUAGAGCGCAUUUAGAGUGCAUUUCCCUUAUUGUUUGUGCUUUUGCUUUUGAAGCAAGAUCAUCUUUGUGGACCACCAUAGGUGAGGGCACAAACAAGAGUGAAGAACAUAAAUUGAAUAUGAGACUGGAAAGUUUACAAAUUCUGCAUCAACAUGAAGAGGUCAAAUUUAGGAAGCUCAAUGUAGCUGCUGAAUUUAGGGAGAAAAGUGCCAUUUGAAAUAUUGCCUUUGCCACCAAAUAGACCAGGACCACCCCUGGCUAUCCUGCUCCACACAUCAGUAGAAAGGAAUAGUUUAAUGUCAGCUCACAGACCAACUGCAGCACAAUGUAUCUGCUUAGCUGGGCCUACAAAGGAAAAAUCACCUUUGACCACACAGGAGUCUAGUUGCAACAGCAUUGUUAAUGUAACCAUUUUCUUUAUGGUAAUUAAAGUUGUUCAUUCACAAACGUUGAAGGUCCUGUACAACAAAAAACAAAUAGUCACUGCAACAUUCUUAACAAAUACCACUUUGUUUUUUUAAAAUUAUCUCUAUUAUUUUUU